UUCAUCCUAAUUAUAACGGGUUUCUAACGUAUUAAUGUAUUAUUUCCAUUAAAACAAGUCACAGUGUAUAAAUAAUUUGCAAUAAACUAUUUCGGAGACAUAAAUCGGUCUAAUUGAUCUAGGGUGAAACACUGUUUUAUUGAACAAAGCAUACUUCGUCGUACAGUCGUCGUCAAGAAAUCCAAUUUUUUUUAUGUUUUGGCCUGUGGUCUUAGUGGCUUGAUAUAAUGUGGACUUAUGUGUGCAUUGCUCUCUCCCGGUGAGAUGUUACAAAUGUUAGUGUCUACUCGUCAACAGAAAUCUGGAAUUCUCACUAAAGCUUAAAAUCUGAGUCUCCGAAGAAAGAACCUAAAGGCCCAGCAUGGCACCACUCCGAAUGAUACUGUGUUAACCCACGACCACAGGUAGCAAAUACACAGGUACUACCUAUACCAACACCCUGGAGGUCUUUAUGAAGAAACAAACUGAGGUAAUACAUUGAUGACGUCAAUGAAGACAUAACGAGAAACGACUUGCGGUCGAAUAUAUAUUUAAGUUACAGCAGUGGAAAACGAAAUUGUGUGUGCUGAUAUCACUUGAAAAUUUAACCAGUAAAUGCACCUAACCCUGUGAGUACGCCA